rfam:Triticum urartu cultivar G1812 contig186455, whole genome shotgun sequence.
CAAAUACUCCCUCCGUGCUAAAAUUCUUAACUUAGAUUUGUCUAGAUACGGAUGUAUCUAGUCACAUUUUAGUGUUAGAUACAUCCGUAUCUAGACAAAUCUAAGACAAGAAUUUUGGGGCGGAGGUAAUACAAA